GACGAACGCUGGCGGCGUGCUUAACACAUGCAAGUCGAACGGAAAGGCGCUGCUUUUGUGGGGUGCUCGAGUGGCGAACGGGUGAGUAACACGUGAGUAUCCUGCCCUUGACUUUGGGAUAACUUCAGGAAACUGGGGCGAAUACCGGAUAGGAGCUCCUGCUGCAUGGGGGGGGUUGGAAAGUUUCGGUGGUUGGGGAUGGAUUCGAGGCUUACCAGCUUGUUGGUGGGGUAGGGGUUGACCAAGGCUUUGAAGGGUAGCCGGCCUGGGAGGGGGACCGGCCACCAUGGGACUGAGGUAGGGCGCAGACUCCUACGGGAGGCAGCAGUGGGGAACAUUGCAGAACAGGCGGACGCCAGAUGCAGCGACGCCGCGAGCGGGAUGCCGGCCUUCGGGUUGUAAACCGCUUUCUACUGUGACGAAGCGUGAGUGACGGUAAUGGGUCAAGAAGCACCGGCUAACUACGUG
rnacentral:rRNA from 1 species